UACGUAGGUGGCAAGCGUUGUCCGGAUUUACUGGGCGUAGAGAGCGCGCAGGCGGUCGUAUAAGUCGAAUGUGAAAGCCCCCGGCUCAACUAGGGAGGGUCAUUCGAUACUGUUCGACUCGAAGGCAGGAGAGGGUAGUGGAAUUCCCGGUGUAGUGGUGAAAUGCGUAGAUAUCGGGAGGCACACCAGUGGCGAAGGCGACUAUCUGGCCUGUUCUUGACGCUGAGGCGCGAAAGCUAGGGGAGCAAACGGG
rnacentral:rRNA from 1 species